UACGAAGGGUGCAAGCGUUACUCGGAAUUACUGGCGUAAAGGGUGCGUAGGUGGUCCGUUUAAGUCCGUUGUGAAAUCCCUGGGCUCAACCUGGGAAUGGCAGUGGAUACUGGACGGAUAGAAUGCGGUAGAGGUAGUGGAAUUCCUGGUGUAGCGGUGGAAUGCGCAGAUAUCAGGAGGAACACCAAUAGCGAAGGCAGCUCGCUGGACGUUACUGACACUGAGGCGCGAAGCGUGAGCGAACAGG
rnacentral:rRNA from 1 species